rnacentral:tRNA from 1 species
GCGGGCGUAGCUCAGGGGUAGAGCAUAACCUUGCCAAGGUUAGGGUCGUG